AGAGUUUGAUCAUGGCUCAGAUUGAACGCUGGCGGCAUGCCUAACACAUGCAAGUCGAACGGAAACGACGAAAACAAUCCCUUCGGGGUGCGUCUUCGGGCGUCGAGUGGCGGACGGGUGCGUAACGCGUAGGAAUCUACCUUAUAGUGGGGGACAACUCGGGGAAACUCGAGCUAAUACCGCAUAAUCCUUACGAGGGAAAGCAGGGGAUCUUCGGACCUUGCGCUAUUAGAUGAGCCUGCGUCGGAUUAGCUAGUUGGUAGGGUAAUGGCCUACCAAGGCAACGAUCCGUAGCUGGUCUGAGAGGAUGAUCAGCCACACUGGGACUGAGACACGGCCCAGACUCCUACGGGAGGCAGCAGUGGGGAAUAUUGGACAAUGGGCGCAAGCCUGAUCCAGCAAUGCCGCGUGUGUGAAGAAGGCCUUAGGGUUGUAAAGCACUUUCAGGAGGGAAGAAAAGCACAAGAUUAAUAAUCUUGUGUCUUGACGGUACCUUCAGAAGAAGCACCGGCUAACUCCGUGCCAGCAGCCGCGGUAAUACGGAGGGUGCAAGCGUUAAUCGGAAUUACUGGGCGUAAAGCGCGCGUAGGCGGCUAUAUAAGUUGGGUGUGAAAUCCCCGGGCUCAACCUGGGAACUGCAUUCAAAACUGUAUAGCUUGAGUUUGGUAGAGGGGAGUGGAAUUCCACAUGUAGCGGUGAAAUGCGUAGAUAUGUGGAGGAACACCAGUGGCGAAGGCGACUCCCUGGCCCAAAACUGACGCUGAGGUGCGAAAGCGUGCUUCCUAGACCAUUUCUGACGUUAAGACGGGAAAGUUUGGGUAGCAAACGGGAUUAGAGACCCCGGUAGUCCUAGCUGUAAAGGAUGUAGAUUGGGCGUGGGGAGAGUUAAAUCCGUCAGUGCGGUAGCUACCGCGAUAAGUCUACCGCCUGGGGACUACGAUCGCAAGAUUAAAUCUCAAAGGAAUUGACGGGGCCCCGCACAAGCAGGGGAGCGUGUGGUUUAAUUCGAUGUUACACGAAGACCCUUACCAGGGUUUGACAUGUAAGUGGUAGUGAUCCGAAAGGUGAACGACCCCUGGGGGAGCUUACACAGGUGCUGCAGGGCUGUCGUCAGCUCGUGUCGUGAGAUGUUCGGUUAAGUCCGCUAAAGAGCGCAACCCUCACUGUGUGUUACAAGUGUCACAGGGGACUGCGGUUUUUAACCCGGAGGAAGGCGAGGAUGACGUCAAGUCAGCAUGGCCUUUAUGUCGUGGGCUACACACACGCUCCAAUGGUCGGUACAAUAGGUUGCCAAGCCGCAAGGGGGAGCCAAUCCCAAAAGCGGGCCUCAUUUCAGAUUCCGGGCUGCAACUCGCCUGCAUGAAGCUGGAGUUGCUAGUAACCCCAGUUCAGCUAUACUGCGGGGAAUACGUUCCCGGGUCUUGUACACACCCCCGGUCACGUCAUGGAAGCUGGAAACACCUGAAGCCGGUAUCCUACCCCCAAGAAAGAACCUGUCGAGGGUGGGGUAGGUGACUGGGACGAAGUCGUACCAAGGUA
rnacentral:rRNA from 1 species